rnacentral:rRNA from 1 species
AUGGUCCAAGUCAAUGUGAUUGCACCGAAUUGGCACCACGAAGCUCUUGUGGAAGUUGGUGCAAAGGCCCGUGGCGUCGCCGAACCUCUUAAGAUGGUUGAGAGGUUGUCAAUAUCUCGCUUGAUAGGAGCCAUGAAAUUUCCGCAUCAUCCGCAUAUAAAGAUGUUCUCAACAUGGCUCCCUCCCCCGAAUCUUGUGGAGGAGUCCCUUCCGAGUUGCCAAGUCCAGAAUUUGCUGAAGCGGGUCAACGGCAAGGACAAAGAGCAGCGGGGAGAGGGGGUGCCCUUGCUGAAAGCCAAUGUCAUGCUUGAUGGGGGGACGGGGCAUCCCAUUAAGGAGGAACCGGGAGGAGGACGAGCAAAGCAAUGCGGCCACCCACUCCCGGAAUUUGCUUGGGAACCCCUUGCAGGGUCAAACUACCUGCUGCCGCCGGCUAGUCCACCUAUCUCACCGGUCGGUCUACCCACCUUGCCGACCAGUCUGCAUGUCCCGCCGGUUAGCCACUCUGCCCGUAUCGCCGGCCAAUCCGUUCAUCCCACAUGGACAGAAAACCAAAAACAGAAAAAUAUGGAUGUGCGCGCUGAGAUCUGCGUGUCCAGAUAUAUGUCGGGAAUUUUUUGCUGGGGCGAGCGGCAGCGACGCCCGGGGACACCGGCAAGGCCUCGGCCAGGAAUGAGCUCUAGCCAACGGAGGCGAGUAAGGAACUUGACAAUUCUGGUGCUUCGCCGAUUUAAAGGGAUGGCCGGGGGCGACGCCAACCCGGCGGUGACGAGAAGGCGGGGCGACGAGGCUGGCGCUCCCCUGCGGUGGCUGGCGGUUCAGCCGGUGAUCUGUGGGGUGGCUUGGCCGGCGGACCGGCCGAAGCUCGGGCCGGUCAUGCGCGGCACGUACGAUUGCUUUCCACGUGAUCGCUUCACACGUGGUCCCACGCGUCAUAGUGGCAUCGUUUCUAUCCUUAUCUCACUACCUUAUCUUCUCGAGACAAAGCCAAAGCCAGCCGAAGAAAUCCCCAUCCCAUUGCGUCGCUCUCUCCUUCGACUCCUUUGCUAUCGCCGGCGGCCACCACGCCCAUUAAUCCCAUCAAAACCACCACUCACCGACGCCCUCUCUGCUACCGCGUCGUGUGGAACACUGGGAGACAUGGGGAGCUGCAAGGGUUGCGGCGAUAUGCGAGUUUGUGCGGCACCAUGGCCGGAGCUGGAACCGGCCUCACCGGAAGCUGCUAUAUGCAGUGCGCCAUGGCUGGACAUAGAUCAGUGCGACGACAGCGACGGCGGGAUGCUACGAUCGACCUGGUGGGAUGCUAGAACCGCGGCCAGGUGGAGCUGCAACCGUGGCCUAGAAAAGCUAGAACCGUGCCGGAUGCUGGCGAGUGCUACAACCAUGGUGGCCAGAUGCUGGAUCCCGAGCUGCAACUGUACCUGGUUUUUGCUGGAACCGGCGACCGCGGCGAGCUGUAGGGUGAGCACGGUGAGCUGCAGGGUUACCACGACAAGUUUGUGCGGAGGGGCGGGGGGGUGCUGCAACCAAAACCAGGGGCGGCAAUACAGAGCAUCUUUUUUCGACAACCUUUUUUGUUUGCGAGCAUCGAUGGCGAGCGUUGCCAUGGAGCACGGCGGUGACUAUCAGCGAGGAGGUUGGGGCCCCCACCCACCUGAAAAUCGGGUGGGUUUGCCUCUAGCCUAUCCGAAGCGGAUUAGGUGGGCUAAAAAGCUGUCUGCCAGUAGGUUUUUGACCGUGGAAACCCCCGUCGCCGCUGCGCAGGCGCCGCAGCCCGGCGGCAUGUCCGCCCUGAGGAACUCCCGGCAGUGGUCCAACCUCUCGCCGGACAUGCUCCUCGCCGUCUCCGCCCGCCUGCACGACGCCGCCGACUUCGUCCGCUUCCACGCCGUCUGCACGUCCUGGCGGGACCGACUGCACUCCGCGGCCACGCGCCCCAAGUUCCUGCCAUGGCUACUCUGGCCAAGCAACGACGGCCAGAUCAUGCACUCCCCCGUGGUCUACUCCGGGCACGUCGAGGUCGAAGUCUCUUCCGAGGACGCGUCAUCGAGCCACCGCCGCGAUUACCACGACGAUAUCGUCCUCGCUGCCGCGGCUCCAUCCACGGGAGGCGGCGGCAGGAACUGGGUGGCUAGCGCAGAUGGCACGGCCGUCUGGCUCUUCGCCGGCGGUCCUGAUCCAAAACUAAUCAACCUGGUCACCGGCAUCGCCACGCCCCUGCCUCCCUUCCCGAUGAUAUUGACAGCUAUCUGUGAGAAGGGUUACGGGGCGAUCUUCACGGCGGCCGUCCUGCGUCCCGGCGAGGCGGCGUGGGCAGUCAUGAAAAAGAGACUGGAUAGGUUGGCAAACUAUUGCUGUGCUGCAUAUCACGACGACAAGGUCCUGGUGUGGGAGAACUUGUUCUGGUGUUGCAUCCUGGAUUUCCAAGACAACACCGACCAUUACACAUCCGUCGGCAAGCUCAAGACACCAUGUCUUAAAGCCGAGGACAGACGAUACGGCCCCAUUUGCAGCUAUGUCCUCGAGUCCCGCGGCGAGCUGUUGCGAGCAUCCAUCCUCAUUGAGCAUGAAUGGCGUCGUCAUCACUACUUGGAUGACCCAUCGCCCCCAUUAUCAGUGACGGUGCACACGCUGGAAGAAGGAGCAGGCGGCGAGAUGCAAUGGGCGGCGAGGGACGCCCAUAACUUGGGCGACCGCAUCUUGUUCCUCGGUUCCCGGGCCAACUUCGGCGUCGACGCUGCGCAGCUGGGCAUCGAGGGUGGGUGCGCCUACUUCGUCUUUAUGAGCCGUGUGUACAGGUGUAGCCUCGUCAAUGGCGAGGCCAAGUUGGUGAAGCCGCUGGGUCGUGGAUGCUGCAUGUGGCUUCGGCCCCAACCUGCUAUUGCUCCGGUCCAGAAAAUUCGAGAAAAGCUCAAGGCUCUGUCCAAACAAGAGGAUGACAAAAUUAAACUUCAAAGGAUAAACAGAAAAGCUGCAAGUAGUUCGCAGCGCAAAACAAACUCUCCCUCUCUCUCGCACUCUUUUGUAUCUCCGGCGAUCGCCGGAGUUGGCUGCAGCGAGGUCUGUCUGACAAUUGGCAUCAGAGCAGGUUUGCUGGUCUACUCGGAGGUCGAAGUCUCUUCCGAGGAUGCGUCAUCGAGCAACCGCCGCGAUUACAAGGACGGCAUCGUCUUGGCUGCCGCGGCUCCAUCCGCGGGAGGCGGCGGCAGGAACUGGGUGGCUAGCGCAGAUGGCAUGGCCGUCUGGCUCUUCACCGGUGGUCCUGAGCCAAAACUAAUCAACCUAGUAUCUGGAACCGCCAAGCUCCUGCCUCCUUUCCCUGAUGAUACCGACACUGACAACGAUGAGAAGAGGCAGCAUAGGUCGGCAAACUAUUGUUGUGCUGCAUAUCACGACGACAAGGUCCUGGUGUGGGAGAACUUGUUCUGGUGUUGCAUCCUGGACUUCCAAGACAACACCGACCAGUACACAUCCGUCGGCGAGCUCAAGACACCAUGUCGUGAAGCCGGGGACAGACGAUACGGCCCCUUUUGCAGCUAUGUCCUCGAGUCCCGCGGCGAGCUGUUGCGAGCAUCCAUCCUCAUUGAGCGUGAAUGGCGUCGUCAUCACUAUCUGGAUGGCCCAUCGCCGCCAUUAUCAGUGACGGUGCACACACUGGAAGAAGGAGCGGGCGGCGAGAUGCGAUGGGCGAUGAAGGACGCUGGUAACUUGGGCGACCGCGUCUUGUUCCUAGGUUCCAGGACCAGUUUCGGCGUCGACGCUGCACAGCUGGGCAUCGAGGGCGGGUGCGCCUACUUCGUCUUUAUGAGCCGUUUGUACAGGUGUAGCCUCGUCAAUGGCGAGGCCAAGUUAGUGAAGCCGCUGCGCCGUGGAUGCUGCAUGUGGCUCCAGCCCCAACCUGCUAUUGCUCCGCUCCAGAAAAUUCGAGAAAAGCUCAAAGCUCUGUCUUCUAUGAAGUUUGCAUAUUCUUUUCCAGCAGCUGAUCUUCCCAUUCAGACAAUCUUUCUGCUUCCAUCUUUGGCAACAGUAACACAACCAGGACGCAUGGUGAGAACACCUACAAAUGAGUCUUCACAAGUCCUGUACAAAGUGACUCCCAAUCCAAUUCUCUAG